rnacentral:rRNA from 1 species
AUGAAAGGCAUUUUUUGGAACAGCAGAGGUCUUAAAGACUUGGCUAAAAGACGUUUUCUAGCAGAAGCUUCUAUUGAACAUCACUUAGACUUUAUUGCUUUGUCCGAAACUGGACGAGGUAAUUUUUCAGCACAAUUUCUUAGCACCUUAGCAGGGGGGGUAGACUUUGAUUGGCAUUGUCUCCCACCUCGAGGAAGAUCCGGUGGGGUUCUACUCGGGGUUAAGUGCGAUACGUUGGAGGUUCGGAGUGUAGUGAUGGGUGAAUUUGCGGUUAAGUUUAGGGUAAGAACGAAAGUUGAUGGUUUUGAUUGGGCUUUGGUGGCAGUCUAUGGGGCUGCGCAACCCGAACUUAAGGAAGAAAAGAAUAAUGACAACUUUGACGGCAGAUGGUCCUUUAUGUUCAAUACUAUCAUAGAGAGCUUGGACCUCAGAGAGAUAGAGCUUUCGGGUAGGAAAUUCACUUGGGCAAACUCAUUACCAGUUCCGACGUUUGAGAAGUUGGACCGUGUUCUGGCAAGUGUUGAGUGGGAACAGAAGUUUCCUCUGGUAACGGUGCAGGCGUUGACACGAGGUAUCUCGGAUCACACACCGCUAUUAGUGGACUCAGGGGCCCCAACUCAUUUGGGUAAUAAGAAUAUUUUCUCUUUCGAACUUGCUUGGUUUGAAAGAGAAGGAUUUAUCGAUCUGUUGGCUAGAGAGUGGGCUAAAGACUCGGGGGGAAGGUCACCCAUGGAGCGGUGGCAAUGCAAGAUUCGUCAUCUGCGAAGGUUCCUUCGUGGAUGGGCUAAGCAUACGAACGGAAUUUAUAAGGCGGAGAAGGAAAGGCUCCUUAUGAUGAUUCACACCCUAGAGUUAAAAGCUGAAACCUCUCUUUUAGAUACCAGAGAGUUGGAGUCUAAAUUGGAGGCCGAGCUAAGGCUGAAAGCGCUUCUUCGUGAGGAGGAAUUGAAGUGGGCUCUCAGAGCUAAGGUUCGCAAGGUUGUCCAAGGUGAGGAUAAUACCCAAUUCUUUCAUAUGAUUGCUAACGGAAAGCAUCGUAAGAAGAGAAUUUUUCAAUUAGAACAAGAUGAAGGAACGAUAGUUGGUCAGGAAAACCUGAAAGUUUACAUUACCAACUACUAUAAGCAGUUAUUUGGACCUCCGGAACGGAGUUUUGUGUCUUUGGAUGAGUCAAGAGUUGAGGAUGUUCCCCAACUUCAGACGGAAGAGAAUGAGAUUUUGACUGCCCCUUUCACGGAGAAGGAGGUGUAUGAGGCCAUUGCACAAAUGAAUAAUAAUAAAGCGCCAGGACCAGAUGGGUUUCCGGCGGAGUUCUACAAAAAGUGCUGGCAUUUCAUUAAACAUGACCUGUUGCUCAUGUUUCAUGAAUUGUUUAAUGGUCAGCUUCAUUUAUUCAAGCUUAAUUUUGGAACAAUAACUCUUCUUCCUAAGAAGACAGAGGCUAUUCGCAUUGAGCAGUUCAGACCCAUUUGUUUGCUUAAUGUAAGUUUCAAAAUUUUCACUAAGGUUGGGACGAACCGACUCACGCAGAUAGCGCAUACGGUGGUGCAACCGUCCCAGACUGCUUUCAUGCCGGAUAGAAAUAUUCUUGAAGGGGUGGUCGUCUUGCAUGAAACGCUCCACGAAAUUCACUCAAAAAAACUUGAUGGGGUGGUUUUUAAAGUGGAUUUUGAAAAAGCAUACGAUAAAGUCAAAUGGCCUUUCCUUCAUCAGGCGUUGCGUAUGAAAGGAUUCGACAAGGCAUGGCGCGACCAAAUUGAUUCCUUUACGCAAAAAGGGAGUGUAGGGAUUAAAGUGAAUGACGAUAUAGGUCACUAUUUCCAGACACAUAAAGGCCUAAGACAGGGGGAUCCAAUGUCACCGAUCUUAUUUAACAUAGUAGCUGAUAUGCUAUCUAUUUUAAUAGGCCGGGCCAAGGAGGCGGGGCAGGUUUCGGGCUUGGUUCCGCACCUAGUUGAUGGAGGUAUAUCCGUUUUGCAGUAUGCUGAUGAUACGAUCAUCUUUAUGGAGCAUGACUUGGUGAAAGCUAGGAAUAUGAAGCUUGUGCUGUGCUUAUUUGAACAAUUGUCUGGACUCAAGAUUAACUUCCACAAGAGCGAGUUGUUUUGCUUUGGAAGAGCUACUGAGGACCAGGUGGCGUAUAAGCAAUUGUUCGGAUGCGAGUUGGGUUCACUACCGUUUACUUACUUGGGCAUUCCCAUUCAUCAUCGUAAGCUUACGAACAAGGAGUGGAAGUGUAUUGAGGAUCGUUUUGAAAAGAAACUAAGCUGUUGGAAAGGGAAGCUCAUGUCAUAUGGAGGUCGAUUAAUUUUGAUUAAUUCAGUUCUCACAAGUAUGCCUAUGUUUCUUCUAUCCUUCUUUGAGAUCCCGGUGGGGGUUAGGAAGAGAUUAGACUUUUAUCGAUCCCGGUUUUUUUGGCAAAACGAUGAGUUGAAACGUAAGUAUAGGCUUGCCAAAUGGGACAUCAUCUGUAGGCCCAAGGACCAAGGCGGUCUAGGCAUUGAAAAUCUAGAGAUCAAGAAUAGAUGUCUCCUUAGCAAGUGGCUUUUUAAACUUUCAUCCGAGACAGAGGCUACUUGGGCACAAAUUCUGCGUAAUAAGUAUCUUCAGUCAAAAACUUUAGCUCAGGUGACGGUGCGCCCAACUGAUUCACCGUUUUGGAAAGGGUUGAUGAGAGUCAAGCCCCUCUUCUUUAACAGGACAAAAAUCUUAGUUGGUGAUGGAGCUACUACGAGGUUCUGGGAGGAUACGUGGCUAGGAGAAACACCUCUGGCACGUUAA